CUCAUUACUGGCAGGGAAGUCCUUUUUCAAAGAUGACGACAAAGUUAAGAAUUCAUGGCGUGAUAGUAACUAAUUGUAAUUGUCAAUUACAUAUCAGAUUAUUUUUUAUCGAAAACAUAGAGCCAAACUUUAUUUUGUAGCGGACAUUUUCUUGAGUGAUAAGGUCGUAAACGUUCGUGGGACGUUUCGCGCACCUGACAAGCGUCAUUUCUAAAUUUAGACUUCAUUUGUCACGUGAUAGCAGUUGACCAAUCAAUUUGUCCGAAUUUAUGCUGAGGUUCGCAGACGUUAGCGAAACGUUUCUUCGGUAUAUAGUCAACGCGGAAGGUUAUGUGCGUGCAGUUGCAGUCCUGGCAGCGGUAGAGGAAGGUGUACAGCUCUGGUUAAGGAUUUUGGGGAGCAAGCCAAUGGGGGAGAUCUAAUCUCGCCGAGAUGAAUGCUUGGCAGAAUGUUUGUUUAUUCGCUUCCUGUGUGCGUGAAGAGCCAAGAACUGUAGUAGAGAAUCAUUGAGAAACCAAGAGUAUGCCGAGGGCAUGGGUAAUGUUACAUUGGUAAGAUACUUGCCAACAGGUAACAUGGGUUUGGUAAGGCUCGUGAAGAAAAAUGUAAAGUUAAAUAGAAUUUUUUUAAAUUCAUGAAAUUUGUAUAUUUUUUUGUCUUAUUUAAUUCUUUUUGGUUUAAUUUUACAUUUUUCUUCACUCUGUUCAAAUAAAGCAUUAUGAUGACCAUUUGUAUUUCAACGGUUGGUAUGCCCAUUUAAGAACUUUUCUGGAAAAUCUGGAAGUAACAUUUUACUUGUGGCCAUGUGGUAAUCAUCUAACCUUUGACAUCAUAGGAAUUAAUUGAGCAUGUACAUUAUUGCUCAUUGAAAUUUUUUUUAUCUUUUCAAGUCCGUCCAUGUGCUUAUUUGAGCAGACGAGUCUGGUUGUUCAAAUGAUUUUGUUGGAUAUGGUAACAUCAAUCAGAUCUUGACAUAGUCUGUAAUCUAGUGAAUUGAAUUCAUAUAUGAUCAUGUUGGGCAAUUGCUUUCAUUUUGCAUAUGAAACACUUUCUGUGUAUGAAUAAAACUGUAAUUAUGAACAUUUAAAACAUGUUUCCUCCUUAUUUGCGAUGUAUGUUGGAGGUUGUAUGCCUUGAACUAACCAGUGUUGCAGAUGGAGAGAAGUGGCUAUAGAGCAUGUAGAGUGCAGAGAGUUGGAGACAAUUAGAGUGUUGAUGGUGAGAAAACUUUAUCAUUUAUUGGCCAAACUUUGACAAUAGUUUAGUAUGGCAGUUGUGUAGCAGUUUGCCAUUAUAUUAAAUUGUGAUGUUGCCUUUUGGCAUACUAGUUAAUAAUGUGUGUGGAAGAUAGAUCUGCCGUUUGGUCAGUUGAAUUCAUGACAUGGCUGCCAUGUUUCCAAGAGUUUGUUGAUAUUUUACUGACAUCGUUUUAUCUUUGAACAUCCUCUUAUUUCAGUUGUUGCGGUGUCUCUCUAAAGAUAUUCUGGCGAUAUUUGAGCUUGGAUGAUUUGAAGUCAACUUCUGUAGAUGGAUAGUGAUCUAAUGAAAAAAAUCUUUUGGUUGUCUCAAAAUUAUCUGACAUCAAACAGGUUCUGUCUAUCCUGUGUCCCAGCAAUCCAGAGAAACAAUGCAUUCAGUCUUCACUACUCUUGAUUCCCGCCCGUGUCUACCCCAGGAAAGAUUGUCAUUCAUGUUCGGAUGGUGCUAUGAUCAAUGUUAUGUAAUAGGUUGUUCCUGCAAAGCACAGGAUAGUUUUUGAAGUAGGCACAGGAGGAAAAGUUCAUUAUAUUCACCCAUCAAGUAACUGGUACAGGGUCACAACUCCUGAUGCACAAGGGGCGGUCGGGUAGCCUAGUGGGUAAAGCGUUCGCUCGUCACGCCCAGGACCCGGGUUCGAUUCCCAACAUGGGUACAAUGUGUGAAGCCCAUUUCUGGUGUCCCCCAGGUCUUGGUAAUGCUUGAAUAUUGCUAAAAGUGGCGUAAAACCAUACUCACUCUUGAAGCACAAAUCAGGUGUUUCUGCCAAUGUUUUUUUCCCCAUGGAGAUUCUGGGUUACAGUAGGUCCCAGGUAAAUGUAGUAAGACGGGUCUGUCGGGUCCUUGGUUACAGUAGGCCACAGGUAACUGUAGUAAGACAGUUAUGUGGAAUCAUGGAUUACAGUAGGUCACAGGUCACUGUAGUAAGGCGGUUCUGUGGGAUCCUGGGUUACAGUAGGUCCCAGGUAACUGUAGUAAGAUGGUUCUGUGGGAUCCUUGGUUACAGUAGGUCCCAGGUAACUGUAGUAAGAUGGUUCUGUGGGAUCCUGGGUUACAGUAGGUCCCAGGUAACUGUAGCAAGAUGGUUCUGUGGGAUCCUGGGUUACAGUAGGUCCCAGGUAACUGUAGUAA
rnacentral:misc_RNA from 1 species